CUCUAAUGCUAAUGACAUAAUACGGAAUGUAUUACACAAAAGAUAAGUGCGAGCAUACAUCUAUAUAUGUAGUAAUAACAUGCGUGCGUACGGCGUCGUACUUUGUUCAGAAAUUUCCAAAGUGUAUUUUCAGAAUUAAUGUGCAGAUCUCUUUUUAGUACCAUAAUUAAAGAUAACAAGAUCAAAGUGAAUUAAAAUAGCCACAAUGCGUAUAAUAAAGAAAUAUUGGCUACAUUUUGCGUAGUGAAUGAUUCUGCAUUUAUGCGCAAGGUGACACAGAACAUCUAUUUAUAAAUGUCAGCUUUGAUUGUUGAUUCUUUGACGACGUGCAUAUGCUUGGACUUUGAUUCACUUUGAAUUAUUUUUAAGACUGGUUGAUCAGUACGUAUAAGCGUACGUAUACCAGAGAACUGAUUUUAUUUCACAAGUUAAAGAACUCCUGUAAAGAAGACCGUGUACACUGUUAAUUUAUGCACAUGAUGAUGAAUUUUAAUCCAUAAAAUGUAAUAAUGUUACUCUAUGUAACAUUCACUGCUUUCAAUCUUCCACAAAAUCCGUUAACUUCGGAGGAAAUAGAAGUGAAAGAAAAAAUUGAACGUAUGUUGCAAGAAAUACAAAACGAAAAAGAACUUCAAAUAGAAGUAGAAGAAACUUUAGAUUUUUACAACGCAUAUGCCCUUCUUCGGGGCAGUAGUCUGGAAUGAAUAUAAAGCGUGCUAGAGGGAAUUCCUGCGGGACCUGCGAGAACGAGCCGGGACAUGGCUAUAUCCCAAAAGUGGAAACGAUUGAUGUAUUAGAGGAUGCUGAAGAUACAGUAUAUCUUCCAGAAGAAAUUAGUUGUACUUCUGAUGAAGCAACAAUAUCAAAUGACUAUAAACGACAAGCUGUGGAAUACUGGAAAAGCGGUAAAACAAGAUCAAAAUCACUUGAAGGAGUUAGAAAGGUUCAAAAAGGUUACAUCGAUACGGCAACUACGACAGUGGGAGAAUUACCUCAGGGCAGGUGGUAGUAGAUCAGACAAAUUCAACAAAAUUUCCGAAUAUACAUUAAACUGUUUCACUGAAGCAUUGGAGAAAGGAAUCAUUAUUCAUGAUACUGAUAUUGCUCGAUGGGCUUCUCGAGCACAAGAAAAAGUAAAUGCGCCACGUUUUAAAGCCUCAAACUCGUGGUUAAAAUGGAACUUCACCGUUUUGUCUGACAGUGACAGUCAAAAGCGGAAUACUUUCUCUGUUACACUGGAAAGCAAAUCAACGGUUUCAGAUGCCACAAGGUCACUUCAUAACGGACAUUCACACAUUUCAGACUUUGCAUCGCCAUAUCUCCGCUCGUAG